ensembl:snoRNA SNORD35B small nucleolar RNA, C/D box 35B
GGCAUAUGAUGUUUGUACUCACGAUGGUCUUCAGAUGCCCACCUGGGGCAUUGCUGAGAAAGCCAUUUGGCACUGCUGAUGUCAGAAU